CUCCGUAGGUGAACCUGCGGAGGGAUCAUUACACAAAUAUGAAGGCGGGCUGGAACCUCUCGGGGUUACAGCCUUGCUGAAUUAUUCACCCUUGUCUUUUGCGUACUUCUUGUUUCCUUGGUGGGUUCGCCCACCACUAGGACAAACAUAAACCUUUUGUAAUUGCAAUCAGCGUCAGUAACAAAUUAAUAAUUACAACUUUCAACAACGGAUCUCUUGGUUCUGGCAUCGAUGAAGAACGCAGCGAAAUGCGAUAAGUAGUGUGAAUUGCAGAAUUCAGUGAAUCAUCGAAUCUUUGAACGCACAUUGCGCCCUUUGGUAUUCCAAAGGGCAUGCCUGUUCGAGCGUCAUUUGUACCCUCAAGCUUUGCUUGGUGUUGGGCGUCUUGUCUCUAGCUUUGCUGGAGACUCGCCUUAAAGUAAUUGGCAGCCGGCCUACUGGUUUCGGAGCGCAGCACAAGUCGCACUCUCUAUCAGCAAAGGUCUAGCAUCCAUUAAGCCUUUUUUUCAACUUUUGACCUCGGAUCAGGUAGGGAUACCCGCUGAACUUAAGCAUAUCAAUAAGCGAAGGAAA
rnacentral:rRNA from 1 species